rnacentral:Y_RNA from 1 species
GGCUGGACUGAGUGUAGUGGUGUUUACAACUAAUUGAUCACAACCAGUUACAGAUUUCUUUGUUCUUUCUCCAUUCCCACUGCUUCACUUGACUAGCCUUAA